rnacentral:rRNA from 1 species
UACGUAGGGUGCGAGCGUUAAUCGGAAUUACUGGGCGUAAAGGGUGCGCAGGCGGCCUUGCAAGUCAGAUGUGAAAGCCCCGGGCUUAACCUGGGAAUUGCGUUUGAAACUACAAAGCUAGAGUGCAGCAGAGGGGAGUGGAAUUCCAUGUGUAGCAGUGAAAUGCGUAGAGAUGUGGAAGAACACCGAUGGCGAAGGCAGCUCCCUGGGUUGACACUGACGCUCAUGCACGAAAGCGUGGGGAGCAAAC